rnacentral:rRNA from 1 species
UACGUAGGUGGCAAGCGUUGUCCGGAAUUAUUGGGCGUAAAGCGCGCGCAGGCGGUCCUUUAAGUCUGAUGUGAAAGCCCACGGCUCAACCGUGGAGGGUCAUUGGAAACUGGGGGACUUGAGUGCAGAAGAGGAGAAUGGAAUUCCUGGUGUAGCGGUGAAAUGCGCAGAUAUCAGGAAGAACACCCGUGGCGAAGGCGGUUCGCUGGGACGGUACUGACGCUGAGACGCGAAAGCGUGGGGAGCGAACAGG